ensembl:miRNA
UCUCAGGCUGUGACCCUCUAGAGGGAAGCACUUUGUCUUGUGUGAAAGAAAAGAAAGCGCUUCCCUUCAGAGGAUUACUCUUUGAGA